GGGGUGGAUUAGUGGCGAACGGGUGAGUAACACGUGGGCAAUCUGCCCUUCACUCUGGGACAAGCCCUGGAAACGGGGUCUAAUACCGGAUAACACCGGCUUCCGCAUGGGAGCUGGUUAAAAGCUCCGGCGGUGAAGGAUGAGCCCGCGGCCUAUCAGCUUGUUGGUGGGGUAAUGGCCUACCAAGGCGACGACGGGUAGCCGGCCUGAGAGGGCGACCGGCCACACUGGGACUGAGACACGGCCCAGACUCCUACGGGAGGCAGCAGUGGGGAAUAUUGCACAAUGGGCGAAAGCCUGAUGCAGCGACGCCGCGUGAGGGAUGACGGCCUUCGGGUUGUAAACCUCUUUCAGCAGGGAAGAAGCGAAAGUGACGGUACCUGCAGAAGAAGCGCCGGCUAACUACGUGCCAGCAGCCGCGGUAAUACGUAGGGCGCAAGCGUUGUCCGGAAUUAUUGGGCGUAAAGAGCUCGUAGGCGGCUUGUCACGUCGGGUGUGAAAGCCCGGGGCUUAACCCCGGGUCUGCAUCCGAUACGGGCAGGCUAGAGUGUGGUAGGGGAGAUCGGAAUUCCUGGUGUAGCGGUGAAAUGCGCAGAUAUCAGGAGGAACACCGGUGGCGAAGGCGGAUCUCUGGGCCAUUACUGACGCUGAGGAGCGAAAGCGUGGGGAGCGAACAGGAUUAGAUACCCUGGUAGUCCACGCCGUAAACGUUGGGAACUAGGUGUUGGCGACAUUCCAC
rnacentral:rRNA from 1 species